AUUCUGUAAGAAGAGAAAGCACUCAGAAAGAGGAGCGAUGCUGUCAGCAUUUUUUUUUUCAAUUUUCAAAUGAGUUUCCCAAAGCUGGUGGCUUCUUUUGGUGGUCAGAGUGUGUGUGGGGGGGUGGGGUGGGGGGGGUGUCCAGGAGUUUUGUAAGAGCUGGGUCAGAUCAGCUAGCAGUGGACAAACACUUUGAGUGAAAGGGUAUCUGAAGGAUGAUUUUGUGUUUUGUUAGGGGAAUGAUUUAUGGGACCAGGAUGUCUAAGUCCUGUCAGCAUUUCAGGGCAAGGUGAGUUAAUGUCCAGGUGAGAGUCUCUUAAACUGGUGCUUCGUUGGUGGAAACACUGUAUACAAGGCGAACCUGGGAAGCCACACUGGGGUCGUCCUUGGAGACGUCAGGGAGAGGCAGAAAGGUCACUGGGGUAGUCAACUCUCUCUCCGAAGAGUGCCAAGGCUGAAGAGGUGAGUACCCGCCUGGAUCACAGCUCUUAUCCUCCAAUUUCUGCAGAAUAUUGUUCACUGGAGACCACUUGAUGUGUCAGCCAUAGAAAUACCCAAAGCUUCCUGACUGUCAGGCUGGCUUGAUGUUCCUGAUGUCAUCCCUUUGGCCAUCUCUCCUGCCUUUAAGGACCACCCAAAUAAUUCAGAGCCACCUCACUAUUUCCAGUUGAUGUCCUUCUGCCCUGAAGUUCUCACCUGACACCGAGCAGAUGCUGGCAUUGUGCUCUUGAACAUUGCCUCCUCUGAAACUGUAUGGUCAAAUAAAGCUCUUUGACAAAA